rnacentral:rRNA from 1 species
AUUGAACGCUGGCGGCAUGCCUUACACAUGCAAGUCGAACGGCAGCACGGGAGCUUGCUCCUGGUGGCGAGUGGCGAACGGGUGAGUAAUACAUCGGAACGUACCCAGUAGUGGGGGAUAACGCACCGAAAGGUGCGCUAAUACCGCAUACGACCGAAGGGUGAAAGCGGGGGAGCGCAAGGCCUCGCGCGAUUGGAGCGGCCGAUGUCUGAUUAGCUAGUUGGCGGGGUAAAGGCCCACCAAGGCGACGAUCAGUAGCUGGUCUGAGAGGACGAUCAGCCACACUGGGACUGAGACACGGCCCAGACUCCUACGGGAGGCAGCAGUGGGGAAUUUUGGACAAUGGGGGCAACCCUGAUCCAGCAAUGCCGCGUGUGCGAAGAAGGCCUUCGGGUUGUAAAGCACUUUUGUCAGGGAAGAAAUCUUUCAGGCUAAUACCCUUGGAAGGAUGACGGUACCUGAAGAAUAAGCACCGGCUAACUACGUGCCAGCAGCCGCAGUAA